GGGGAUGUUUUGGUUUUGACAUCGAAUUAAUUGCCGGGUAAGCAUGCCGAGCGUUGUGAGUAUGGCUCGCUAAUCCUAACUUUCAAGCCUAUAAAUGGCGAAAACAACUAUGCACUCGCUGCGUAAUAAACCAAGUUUAUUAGCUUAAUCCACUACGCCAAGGCUGCGUCAGGGACGAGUAUCCUUCUGCACUUUAUACCUGUUAUGUGCAGUAAACAGGGUAUCAUUCAAACGGGUUGCACGCGUUCACUCCUCUAAGACGCGCCAAGAUCCAGAGGAUAAGGUCCGGGUGGCUUGCCUGUAAGCAGCCCUCUCCCGACAACCAAGAACAGGCUAAGCAUGUAGAAAGCUCUGCGGUGGUUCGCUUGGACGGCGGUUCGAGUCCGCCCAUCUCCACA
rnacentral:tmRNA from 1 species